rnacentral:rRNA from 1 species
GACGAACGCUGGCGGCGUGCUUAACACAUGCAAGUCGAACGGAAAGGCCCUGCUUUUGUGGGGUGCUCGAGUGGCGAACGGGUGAGUAACACGUGAGUAACCUGCCCUUUACUUUGGGAUAACUUCAGGAAACUGGGGCUAAUACCGGAUAGGAGCUCCUGCUGCAUGGUGGUGGUUGGAAAGUUUCGGCGGUUGGGGAUGGACUCGCGGCUUAUCAGCUUGUUGGUGGGGUAGUGGCUUACCAAGGCUUUGAUGGGUAGCCGGCCUGAGAGGGUGACCGGCCACAUUGGGACUGAGAUACGGCCCAGACUCCUACGGGAGGCAGCAGUGGGGAAUAUUGCACAAUGGGCGGAAGCCUGAUGCAGCAACGCCGCGUGCGGGAUGACGGCCUUCGGGUUGUAAACCGCUUUCGCCUGUGACGAAGCGUGAGUGACGGUAAUGGGUAAAGAAGCACCGGCUAACUACGUG